CAACAAUUGAAAUCAGGCUUAAAAUGUCGACUGAAACCUUUGUGUGUCAUUAAUUACACAAACGCUCAUUAACUCAAGAUCAUUGUUGUUUCACUUCAUUCAAGUCAACGAGUAAUAAAGAACAUGUGAUUCUCUUUGGUCUGAAGAAAACAAGACGGAUUCAUUUGGUUUUAUUUUUAUUAAAAUGUAUUUUCAUUGUUAAAAUAAUAAACAUUUAUAAACCAUAAUAAACAACAUAUUUAACAAUAAUAAUAAAACAAUCAUUGGGAAAACAUCUGAAGCAGUUCCUGAGAAGAGAGAAAAGAAGAAGUUAUUAACAUGUUAAUGUUGUUAGUGUGUCUGUGUGUACAUCUAAAUGUUAGUGUGUCUGUGUGUACAUCUAAAUGUUAGUGUGUCUGUGUGUACAUCUAAAUAUUAAUAUGUCUUUGUGUACAUCUAAAUAUUAGUGUGUGUCUUUGUUUAGUACCAAAUGUUAGUGUGUCUGUGUGUACAUCUAAAUAUUAAUGUCUUUGUGUACAUCUAAAUAUUAGUGUGUGUCUUUGUGUACAUCUAAAUGUUAGUGUGUGUCUUUGUUUAGAACCAAAUGUUAGUGUGUCUGUGUGUACAUCUAAUUGUUAGUGUGUCUGUGUGUACAUCUAAAUAUUAGUGUGUGUCUUUGUGUACAUCUAAAUGUUAGUGUGUGUCUUUGUUUAGAACCAAAUGUUAGUGUGUCUGUGUGUACAUCUAAUUGUUAGUGUGUCUGUGUGUACAUCUAAUUGUUAGUGUGUCCCGAUGACGUAGUGUCCCGAUGACGUGGUGUCCUGAUGGCGUCCUGAUGGCAUCCCGAUGACGUGGCGUCCUGAUGGCGUCCUGUUGGUCUGCAGACAAGGAGAAGAGACGUGAGGAGGAUCAUCAGGAUGUGUCUGUGUGUACAUCUAAUUGUUAGUGUGUCUGUGUGUACAUCUAAUUGUUAGUGUGUCUGUGUGUACAUCUAAUUGUUAGUGUGUCUGUGUGUACAUAUAAAUGUUAGUGUGUCUGUGUGUACAUCUAAAUAUUAAUGUGUCUUUGUGUACAUCUAAAUAUUAGUGUGUGUCUUUGUUUAGAACCAAAUGUUAGUGUGUCUGUGUGUACAUCUAAUUGUUAGUGUGUCUGUGUGUGGAUCUAAUUGUUAGUGUGUCUGUGUGUACAUCUAAAUAUUAAUGUGUCUUUGUGUACAUCUAAAUGUUAGUGUGUGUCUUUGUUUAGAACCAAAUGUUAACGUGUCUGAGUACAUCUGUGUGUGUGUGUGUGUGUGUGUGUGUGUGGGUGUGUGUGUGUGUGUCAUGAGUAGAUUUGGAUUUGCUCCUGAGGGGUUGACGCGGCGUCCUGAUGGCGUCCUGAUGGCGUCCCGAUGACGUGGUGUCCUGAUGGCGUCCCGAUGACGUGGCGUCCUGAUGGCGUCCUGUUAGUCUGCAGACAAGGAGAAGAGACGUAAGGAGGAUCAUCAGGAUGUGUCUGUGUGUACAUCUAAUUGUUAGUGUGUCUGUGUGUAGAUCUAAUUGUUAGUGUGUCCGUGUGUUCAUCUAAUUGUUAGUGUGUCUGUGUGUAGAUCUAAUUGUUAGUGUGUCUGUGUGUACUUCUAAUUGUUAUUGUGUCUUUGUGUACAUCUAAAUAUCAGUGUGUGUGAGUACAUCUGUGUGCGUGUGUGUGUGUGUGUGUGGGUGUAUGUGUGUGUGUGUGUGUCAUGAGUAGAUUUGGAUUUGCUCCUGAGGGGUUGACGCGGCGUCCUGAUGGCGUCCUGAUGGCGUCCCGAUGACGUGGUGUCCUGAUGGCGUCCUGAUGGCGUCCCGAUGACAUGGCGUCCUGAUGGCGUCCCGAUGACAUGGUGUCCUGAUGGCGUCCUGAUGGCGUCCUGUUGGUCUGCAGACAAGGAGAAGAGACGUGAGGAGGAUCAUCAGGAUGUGUCUGUGUGUACAUCUAAUUGUUACUAAAUAUUAGUGUGUGUCAUUGUUUAGAACCAAAUGUUAGUGUGUCUGUGUGUACAUCUGUGUGUGUGUGUGGGGGGGGAGUGU
ensembl:lncRNA